UAAGUUGGUUUGUUUGACAUGCUAUUGUAGCUGAUUUUUUUGUUUUUGUUUUCUAGAUUGAACCAGGUAGUCAGACUGAGCAAGCUCCUCCAUCAACUGUAUUUUUGUUGGCUCCUGGGGAUAUGCAUGGUUUCAGAUUCUUGACCAUCUCAGUUGCACCUAGUCCGGAAGGCCUUCACCUGCUACUUCCAUGGCAGUUGGACAAUUCUUUAUUCCAAAAGAUGGGGAAUUAGAGUUGUCUCAUCAGUUGUUGCUUCUCUCAACUUAUUCUCCGAAGGACAUAAUAUUGAAGGAGGACCAUCCUCUUGAUUUCAAUAUGUCAUUUGCUAUUAGCUUAGGUCUUUUUCCUGUUAAACUAUCUCUGGAAACUACAGGAUGUGGAAUAAAAAAAUCUGUACUCCCCGUUGAAGAGGCUGGAGAUCUGGAGAAUGGCAGUAAGGCUUUCUUUAUGUAUUUAUUUUCCAUGAAGUC